AGAAGCCCGAGGAGGCGGAGCAUGGAACUCGACAGUUAAAACAUUUAAGAGAGAAAACCUAGUGUCUUGCUGGCCUGAAAUCGAGUACGCAGCCCGGGGUGAUCAGGGUCUCCCGGCCCGGAUGUGUGAGACUUGCUUCCCCUGGGCAAUAGGCGAUACGAUGCUUUAGGAGGAAGGUGUCUCUCCCUCCUAAGCCCCGGAGGGGAGAACUUCCAAAGACAGAAAACCACAGGCUUCCUGGCACAGAGCUUUCCCUUUAUCAGCUAAAGCAGAAUCUUUUCUGGCCUUAACCUGGCCCCUUCCUCUAACUGCAGGCAGAGAGGCAGACAGAAAAGCACUUGCUGAAACACAAAGUUUUGUUCUGUCCUCAACGAACUGUCUAGAGCUGAUUGCUGAUAGUCGUGGUGCAUUAUGCCUUCCUGGUUUUCAUUUAAUUGGGCACCACGCUGCCUUUCAAGACGCCUUAAAGGAACCAACAACCAAAUCCAAGAGAGCUGGACAGACCAUUGAACACACAGUAGGCUGUGUCUCGUGGCUUUCGUUGUCUGGUGCCUCAAAGAAAACACCAGAAAGAUUGUUUCUAAGCUAGAGCCACCCCAGAUUGCUUAAAGUGCAAAGCUCACUGCUGUUGGGGGUACCCUUGUGAGACACUGGAAAGCUGGUUUUACCGUGGCCCUAUGAAGAGGAAGACUGAAAUUUAGACAGUAAUACCUUUACUAGGAUUGGAAAAGAUUUGGUUAAUGACAGCCCUGUCAUUUCUAAAACCCAUUAUCACUGUAUGAGAGAUUCCUUUGCGCUGCAUCCUCGACAGUGCUUCCUAAGGCUCUGCCGACUUCCAGUUCUGGAACAAGAUGGUUAAACUCAUUUUUCCCUGCUCUGCUCCUCUAAAUACAACUAAGUACCUUGGAAACUAUUCAGCAGACAAUGAUAAAGGGCUCUGAAAGCUAGAAGAAAAGGUGUACUUGCAAGAAACCUCAGGACUUGAGUAACAGCAACAUGAACAAUCCAUUUCACAGAUGAAGAAACAGACUCAGUGAGCACGUGAUCACUUCUCACAACUAAUGGAGCCAAGAUUCUGUCCUUAUGGCUCCAGAGACCUCUUUUUUUUCCCACUGUACCACAACACUCACCAGGACUGGAGUGCCACCUAUGACCUCAUUGCAUAAUGGAUGGCUUGUCCUCAAAUGGGCCCGGUCUUGGACGAGCCUGAGGAUGUCUACAAGUGGAAGAAAAGAAGCCACUGGAGCAGAAGGUGGGGAGGAUAAAAUUUGGAGCAAGAUUCUCAAGGAAGCAACAAGAUCCUAAGGAAAGGAGAAAGAGACUACC
rnacentral:lncRNA from 1 species